CCCUUAGAUGUUCUGGGCCGCACGCGCGCUACAAUGAUGAAUUCAACGAGUUUAUAACCUUGGUUGAAAAGCCUGGGUAAUCUUUUGAACUUUCGUCGUGAUGGGGCUAGACCCUUGCAAUUAUUGGUCUCCAACGAGGAAUUCCUAGUAAACGCAAGUCAUCAGCUUGCAUUGAUUACGUCCCUGCCCUUUGUACACACCGCCCGUCGCACCUACCGAUUGAAUGGUCCGGUGAAAUCUUCGGAUUGAGACUUUGAUUUCUUCACGGAAAACGCUGUUUUAAAAAGUUGAUUAAACCUUACCAUGUAGAGGAAGGUGAAGUCGUAACA
rnacentral:rRNA from 1 species